AUACGUAGGUGGCAAGCGUUGUCCGGAAUUAUUGGGCGUAAAGCGCAUGUAGGCGGCGUGUUAAGUCUGUCGUGAAACUGCGGGGCUCAGCCCCGUAUGGCGAUGGAAACUGAUGUGCUUGAGUGCAGGAGAGGAAAGGGGAACUCCCAGUGUAGCGGUGAAAUGCGUAGAUAUUGGGAAGAACACCGGUGGCGAAGGCGCCUUUCUGGACUGUGUCUGACGCUGAGAUGCGAAAGCCAGGGUAGCGAACGGGAUUAGAUACCCCGGUAGUCCUGGCCGUAAACGAUGGGUACUAGGUGUGGGAGGUAUCGACCCCUUCCGUGCCGGGGUUAACGCAAUAAGUACCCCGCCUGGGGAGUACGGCCGCAAGGCUUAAACUUAAAGGAAUUGACGGGG
rnacentral:rRNA from 1 species